AGCAGGCAUUUGCUUUUUUCUGACAAAUGAUUCCAGCUUUGGGAGACGUUGCUUUGCAUUUUUGCUCGGACAAACCGUUACAAGUUACUGGUAUGGUGUGAGGGACAAAAACAAAAGACAUUGGAGGCUAAUUCAAGAGCACCAUCAUGGAGGACAUGGACUUUGAGCGGCGCCGGGAGCUGAGGAGGCAGAAGCGGGAGGAGAUGCGCCUGGAGGCUGAACGCAUGCUCAGGAACGAUGACGACGAGGAGGAGGCCGCCCGGGAGAGGAGGCGCAGGGCGCGUCAGGAGAGGCUGAGGAGCCGGGAGAGCGAGGAGCCCAGCAGCCAGCCGGACGGCACCGUCAUGACCAACAGCCACAGCGUGACAGAGUCCGUCUCAGUGAGCAGCCCCUACGGCGGCGGCGGGGACGACGAGGAGCAGGCCUUGCAGGAGCGCAUGGCCAAGCGCGAGGAGAGGCGGCAAAGACGCAUGAAGGAGGCGCUGGAGAGGCAGAAGCAGCUGGAACCCGCCGGCGACGGCGUCGGCCCGGAGAAGAACAGCACAGAGGAGGAACGGUCCUCCUGGCGCAGCCGCCGUUACCGUGACACCGUGGAGGACGAGGAGAAGACUGAGAGCAGCAGCUCGAGGCGGGAGGAAAAAGAGCAAGAGGAACCUAGAGAGGAGGAAGAGGAGCCUGCUCCUGAGGGAGAGGAGGAUGAAGAGGAGGAGGAGGAAAAAGUUCAAGUUGUGGAAACCAAACCAAGAAGGUCUAAUCUGAGAGAACAGACAACUGGUGGCAUUGGAUCUAUUUCGAGGUGCCAGAUUAAGGCAUCAGCAGAGGAGACUGUAAUGCAACACAAGGAUCACAUUGAAGACGAAACCCAUUCGGUAGUCAGUGAGAGUUCAAGUCAGGCCAAGUCAGCAAACUCCGAGGCUGAGGAGGAUUCAGUAGCAUCAGGGGAGGCUGAAGAGGUGAACGAGAGGGAAGAGUCUGAGGAGGAUCAGAGGAAGCAUAACGGAGGACUGCAUGACGAGGCGGCUCUCAAACAGCACAGGAAACCCGAGAGGACCCUCAGCCGCGGCAGCGUCCGUUCCCCGGAGGUGUCCGCCGGCGACGAGCAGGACGACGACGCCCGCCUGGAGGCAGAGCGCAAGCUGGAGGAGCUGAAGCGCCGGCGCGAUGACGCAGAGAGCGAGGAGUUCGAGAGGAUGAGGCAGAAGCAGCAGGAGGCCGAAGCCGAGCUGGAGGAGCUGAAGAGGAAGCGGGAGGAGAGGAAGAAGGUCCUGGAGGAGGAGGAGAGGCAGCGGAAGCAGGAGGAGGCGGAACGGAAAGCCAGAGAGGAGGAGGAGAAGAGGAAGAUGAAAGAGGAGAUUGAAAGGAGACGGGCCGAGGCUGCAGAGAAGAGGCAGAAAGUGGACGACAUCGUGGACGGGGAGGGGAAACCGUUCAAGUGCGUCAGUCCUCGAGGCUCUUCUCUCAAGAUUGGAGAAAGAGCAGAAUUCCUGAACAAAUCAGCACAGAAAAGCUCUGUGAAGGCGUCUCAUUCUCCUGUGGUGUCCAAGAUAGACAACCGGCUGGAGCAGUACACCUCAGCUGCUCAGCGAGAGAACAAGGAGUCCAAAUCCCCUCGCUCCACCGUGUUGGAUCUUCCCGUGGUCACUGACGUACGAAACAUUAAGAGCAUGUGGGAGAAAGGCAAUGUGUUCAGCUCACCUGGAAGUGCUGGAAGCACUUUUAAGGAAGCAGCUGUUAUAAAGACGGGCGUGGCAGGCCGCAUCAACGACUGGCUGAAUAAAACCCCAGAGAGCGGCAAGACGUCAGGAGGGAAGCCAACGGACCUGAAACCCGUUGAUGUCACCAACAAGAGGAGUCUAUGGGAAAACAAAGGCGCCACUCCGACAAAGAACUCUCACAGCUAGUUGACCUCGGCAUGCAAUCUGGAAUAAGCCUGGAGAGAUGGCAGGCAGAGGAGAGACCAAAUCAGUCGCCAACGGUGAGUCUUAGGUAUGGGGCACUAAUGUCUUAAAGGAGCCACUAAAGCUGGGGACCACGACAAUCCAAGAUUCUACCUUUUGAACAAUUUUUUCCUAAGAACCAAAUGACGACCAGAUCCCUAGGAGGAACGACACCACACUGUAAUGAAACACCUCCUGCAUUUUUGCCAAGUGUAGUACUUUUUGCACAAUGGGUUAGGUUCCGAAAAUAACAGAGGAGGAGAAAAAAGAAAGAAAAAAAACGCUGUGAAAUUUGGACAUUUUUAGACCCGAAUGAGUUCCCAAUCAGCAUUUUAGAUUUUUAGAUUCCUCCACUUUUUAAGUUCCCCCUUUCCAAAUAGACGAGUGAAACCAGACCUCUCCCUCUUACAGAUUACUUUCCAUAUCUCCUUAAUUCUUUUUUUUUUCUUUUUUAAUUUAUAUUUAAAGAGACGGCUUCACACAUCGCUAUUUUAUACUCGGCAGCCACCUGUUCAGGAUAGAAAUGUAAGCACUUCUAGAUUUUAGCAGAUUUCACUUGUAUUAAUUAUGUCUUAAUAAUAGCAGAGGAAAGGUCUGAGUAAUAUAAGUUAGCACAUGUGACGUUUUGAGUAUCAUUGUAUCAUGUAUAACAUCUCUAUGCUCAUAGAAGGUAUUUUUUGCUUCUUUUUUUUUUUAUUUACGAUGGAAAACUCUUCACCAACAGACGGUUAAUUGUGAAGGUGAAAGGAGUGCUGAAUAUUCAGAAGGUCAUUAUGACUUAUUAUUAUCCUUUAUGUAAUUUUAAUUUAAGUUUUAAUGUGGUUUAUUGUAUCUGGCUGUUGUUGUUUUGGGUUUUUUUUUUUUUAAAGCUUUUGAGAUCAGUUUAUACAGCACUGGGAAAAGUGUUUGCCUCCUUACUGAUUUCUCCUGUUUUUUUAUUAUUAUUGUUGUUGUCCCACUUAAAUUCCUCACAUCAAACACAAAUUUAAUAUCAGACAAAGAUAACUUAAAUAAAGGUACAAAAUGAAUUUUCCAGUGAUUUUAUUUUAUUUUUCUUUUUUUUUUUAAUUUGGGGGUAAAUAACCUCAUUCAAACCCAAUUGUCCCUGUGCAAAAAUUUUAUUUUCCCAUUUUUAUUUCCUUAAUUUACAGUGAUUAAUCCAAUUUUUUUUUAUUCUGUUUUUACUGUCUGAAGUCUAGAAUCAGGAAAUCGCCUAAAAAGAACCUGUUUGACAACAUGAAGUAGGCUUAAAGAUGUCAAAAUAAAGUUUAAAAAACUGAUGAAAAGAAAUUCAGGACCAAUUGUGUUUGAAUACUCAUUACCAGUUACUACAGGGUGUCUGUUAGCUGGUUGGUGUGGAAAGCUUUUUCCCCUUAACACAUGAAAUCAUCUUUUGAAAACUGUUUUUUAAAAUGUACUCAGGUUAUCGUUGAUAUUAAAACAUUUAAGCGCGACAAAGAGAGAAAAAAAAUGGAGCAAGUCUCUAAGGGGGGAAAUCCAUCACCUCAGUGCUGUGAAAAAAAUAAAAAAUAAAACAAAAAAAUCUUCUUACAUUCCUGUUUGAAAUGCUCGUGGUGCCUUCGCUGCUUUGAAGCUGUGCUGUGUACGGAAAAUGUGCAAAGAAGACCAAGUUUUGUAUUCUGUCUUUUACAGUAAUCUCUUCCACGCCUCUUCUGCUCGAGCAAUGUAACGAGUUAGCAGUUUAUGGAUAUUUACCACUAUGUAGAGCCUCUCGCCUUACGAUUGCAACGAGAACGUUUCCGGCGCAACAGAAGAUGAAAGAAUCGCAACAAAGAUUCUGUGAUUAUUUUUUUCAUUUUUCUCUCCGAACAUGUUGUUAUGUAGCUCAUAUCGUCAGCGUGGCACAAGCUUUGAUUAGUACAUGAACGGUUUGUCAGGGCAUUAAAUCGAUUAAUGUUACUGCUCAACAGUCUGACAAUCACAUUCCUUUGGCUCCUCAAAAAAGCAGGGAGCUUGACCAAAAUAUUUUAUAAAGAGUGAAUUAAUGUGACAUUUUUUUUUUUUAAUACAGUGGUUUUAUUGUGCUGUAUUUUUUUUUUUUUUUUUUUUUACAAUCUUGUGUCCUUUUUUGAUGUUUUUUAUGCUUUUUCAAUUUUUAACCAGGCACUUGUUUGUGUAGCGCCAAGCCUAUGCAACACACACACAUCUGUACUUGUAUCUUAUUCUGUAUCUCGGUGUCAUGAACGUGGAUGGAUGUUUGUAACAUUGUACUGCAACUCAACUGCAACAAUAAAGACAUUGAGGUAUUCCA